GAAAAUUAGCUAUUUUCAGAAGAGACGUUUCUUAAUCAAGUCUCAGAAGAGACGUCGCUUAUCCUUCAAUCUCCUCUCCUCUCUCGCCAAUCCUUCGAUCUCCUCUCCUUUCUCUCCAAUCCACAGUCUCAUCGGCAUCUUCAAACAACCGGCGAUGCGUCUCAGUUCCCGUUGAUACGAGUCCAUAGCCUUAGGUUUCUUCAAUUCCCGUUCUCCGAGUGUUGUCGUAAUCGGAGAUCAGAUCGACUUCCUGGUUGAAGGACGGCACUGUCUUAUGCUGAGAAGAGUAUCAGGGUAGAUGAGAGGCACAUACCCGGCUACAUAGUGAAGGAAAACUUCCUUUGACUAGCAAAACGACCAGAAGCUGCAGCGAUUGCCUUCAGGGCUGCCCAGAAUUUGAGGUCUGAUCUUCGUUCAUAUCAAGGCUUAGUACAUUCUUAUUUGGCAUUUGGCAAAACCAAAGAAGCGUUGUAUACCUUGGAGCAGCCAUAGCUCUAGCUGACCUACAUCUAAUGGAAGGGAGGAAUGGAGAUGCUGUAUCACUACUUGAACGAUAUCUAAAAGACUGGGCUGAUGAAUCUCUCCAUGCCAAGCUAGCUCAAGUGUUUGCUGCAACGAAUAUGCUACAAGAUUCUUUAUCGCACUAUCAAGCUGCAUUAAGGAUAAAUCCACAGAAUGAGGCAGCCACAGCUGAUGGACCGAAACACAUAGAAACCACCCUAUCACUUUUUUGAUUGUUUUAAAAUAGCACAUGAUGGUUUCGCUAUCGUUCUACUCACUGUUCUUGUUAAGGCUGCUACCUUCCCACUGACCAAAAAGCAGGUCGAAUCUGCAUGGCUAUGAAGUCUUUGCAGCCUCAAAUUAAGGCUAAUCAGGAACGGUAUGUUGGUGUCAGGUUAACCCAUUUUUCCUGAUGUGAUACUAAGUCUAUAGUUUGUAUCAAUCAAGUUGUUAGGUUUGAGUAAAUAGGUCUGAAGCUGCUUGUUUCAUCAUUAUGGACAGAUAAGUGUUGAGAAUGUUUAAAAAAAUUUUAAGAAACCUUAAUUAAGAAA